rnacentral:rRNA from 1 species
UACGGAGGGUGCAAGCGUUGUUCGGAAUCACUGGGCGUAAAGGGCGUGUAGGCGGUCCGCUAAGUCUGAUGUGAAAGCCCGAGGCUUACCCUCGGAAGUGCAUUGGAGACUGGCGGACUGGAGUCCCGGAGAGGAGGGUGGAAUUCCUGGUGUAGCGGUGAAAUGCGCAGAUAUCAGGAGGAACACCGGUGGCGAAGGCGGGUCUCUGGGCAGUAACUGACGCUGAGGAGCGAAAGCGUGGGGAGCAAACAGG